rnacentral:rRNA from 1 species
CCUACGGGUGGCAGCAGUGAGGAAUAUUGGUCAAUGGACGAGAGACUGAACCAGCCAAGUAGCGUGAAGGAUGACUGCCCUAUGGGUUGUAAACUUCUUUUAUAAAGGAAUAAAACGCGGCACGUGUGCCGUUUUGCAUGUCCUUCAUGAAUAAGGAUCGGCUAACUCCGUGCCAGCAGCCGCGGUAAUACGGAGGAUCCGAGCGUUAUCCGGAUUUAUUGGGUUUAAAGGGGGCGUAGAUGGGAUGUUAAGUCUGUUGUGAAAGUCUGAGGCUCAACCAUAGAAUUGCAAUUGAUACUGGCAGUCUUGAGUACGGUGGAGGUAGGCGGAAUUCGUGGUGUAGCGGUGAAAUGCUUAGAUAUCACGAAGAACUCCGAUUGCGAAGGCAGCUUACUAAACUGUGACUGACGCUGAUGCUCGAAAGCGUGGGUAUCAAACAGGAUUAGAUACCCGGGUAGUC